rnacentral:rRNA from 1 species
AACGAGUUGCGAGUCGGUGACGGCGAGCUAAUCUCUUAAAGACCAAUCUCCAGUUCGGAUUGUAGGCUGCAACUCGCCUACAUGAAGUCGGGAUCGCUAGUAAUCGCGGAUCAGCACGCCGCGGUGAAUACGUUCCCGGGCCUU